CAGUCGAGCGGAACGAGUUAUCUGAACCUUCGGGGGACGAUAACGGCGUCGAGCGGCGGACGGGUGAGUAAUGCCUAGGAAAUUGCCCUGAUGUGGGGGAUAACCAUUGGAAACGAUGGCUAAUACCGCAUAAUGCCUACGGGCCAAAGAGGGGGACCUUCGGGCCUCUCGCGUCAGGAUAUGCCUAGGUGGGAUUAGCUAGUUGGUGAGGUAAUGGCUCACCAAGGCGACGAUCCCUAGCUGGUCUGAGAGGAUGAUCAGCCACACUGGAACUGAGACACGGUCCAGACUCCUACGGGAGGCAGCAGUGGGGAAUAUUGCACAAUGGGCGCAAGCCUGAUGCAGCCAUGCCGCGUGUGUGAAGAAGGCCUUCGGGUUGUAAAGCACUUUCAGUCGUGAGGAAGGUAGUGUAGUUAAUAGCUGCAUUAUUUGACGUUAGCGACAGAAGAAGCACCGGCUAACUCCGUGCCAGCAG
rnacentral:rRNA from 1 species